GCCGGCGUAGCUCAGUGGUAGAGCAGCUGUUUCGUAAACAGCAGGCCAUCAGUUCGAAUCUGAUCGCCGGCUCCA
rnacentral:tRNA from 1 species